UACGUAGGGUCCAAGCGUUGUCCGGAUUUAUUGGGCGUAAAGAGCUCGUAGGUGGUUUUGUAAGUCGGGCGUGAAAUCUCUGGGCUUAACCCAGAGUGGCCGUUCGAUACUGCAAUGACUUGAGUGUGGUAGAGGAAAGUGGAAUUCCCGGUGUAGCGGUGAAAUGCGCAGAUAUCGGGAGGAACACCAAUGGCGAAGGCAACUUUCUGGGCCACCACUGACACUGAGGAGCGAAAGCGUGGGUAGCGAACAGG
rnacentral:rRNA from 1 species